GGGAAAUUGGGGUUGCGAAUUUUAGGUUAAACUCAAAUAAAAUCAAUAAAGAAAACGGGAAAUUGGGGUUGCGAAUUUUAGGUUAAACUCAAAUAAAAUCAAUAAAGAAAACGGGAAUAUUUGAGUGUGUGAACUUUGGAAGGUAAAACUCAAAUAAAAUAAAAAAGAAAACGGGAAUUGGGGUUGCUAACUUUAGUGGAAGGUAAAACUGAAAUAAAAUGAAUAAAGAAAACGGGAUAUUUGGGGCUGCGAACUUUGGAAGGUAAAACUCAAAUAAAAUCAAUAAAGAAAACGGGAUACUUGGGGUUGCGAAUUUUGGAAGGUAAAACUGAAAUAAAAUCAAUGAAAAGCAACUAAAAAGAUAAAGAAAAUAGGAAAAAGAGAGAA